GUGAAGAACGUAGUGAAAUGCGAUAAGUAAUGUGAAUUGCAGAAUUCAGUGAAUCAUCGAAUCUUUGAACGCACAUUGCGCCCUCUGGUAUUCCGGGGGGCAUGCCUGUUCGAGCGUCAUUAUAACCACUCAAGCUCUCGCUUGGUAUUGGGGUUCGCGGUUCCGCGGCCCCUAAAAUCAGUGGCGGUGCCUGUCGGCUCUACGCGUAGUAAUACUCCUCGCGAUUGAGUCCGGUAGGUCUACUUGCCAGCAACCCCCAAUUUUUACAGUUUGACCUCGGAUCAGGUAGGGAUACCCGCUGAACUUAAGCAUAUCAAUAAGCGGAGGA
rnacentral:misc_RNA from 1 species